rnacentral:rRNA from 1 species
AGUGGAAGCGUCUGGAAAGGCGCGCGAUACAGGGUGACAGCCCCGUACACAAAAAUGCACAUGCUGUGAGCUCGAUGAGUAGGGCGGGACACGUGGUAUCCUGUCUGAAUAUGGGGGGACCAUCCUCCAAGGCUAAAUACUCCUGACUGACCGAUAGUGAACCAGUACCGUGAGGGAAAGGCGAAAAGAACCCCGGCGAGGGGAGUGAAAAAGAACCUGAAACCGUGUACGUACAAGCAGUGGGAGCACGCUUAGGCGUGUGACUGCGUACCUUUUGUAUAAUGGGUCAGCGACUUAUAUUCUGUAGCAAGGUUAACCGAAUAGGGGAGCCGAAGGGAAACCGAGUCUUAACUGGGCGUUAAGUUGCAGGGUAUAGACCCGAAACCCGGUGAUCUAGCCAUGGGCAGGUUGAAGGUUGGGUAACACUAACUGGAGGACCGAACCGACUAAUGUUGAAAAAUUAGCGGAUGACUUGUGGCUGGGGGUGAAAGGCCAAUCAAACCGGGAGAUAGCUGGUUCUCCCCGAAAGCUAUUUAGGUAGCGCCUCGUGAAUUCAUCUCCGGGGGUAGAGCACUGUUUCGGCAAGGGGGUCAUCCCGACUUACCAACCCGAUGCAAACUGCGAAUACCGGAGAAUGUUAUCACGGGAGACACACGGCGGGUGCUAACGUCCGUCGUGAAGAGGGAAACAACCCAGACCGCCAGCUAAGGUCCCAAAGUCAUGGUUAAGUGGGAAACGAUGUGGGAAGGCCCAGACAGCCAGGAUGUUGGCUUAGAAGCAGCCAUCAUUUAAAGAAAGCGUAAUAGCUCACUGGUCGAGUCGGCCUGCGCGGAAGAUGUAACGGGGCUAAACCAUGCAC